GUUUUGUUAAACCCUCCGACACCCCUCUUCUUCAACCGAAGCUGCAGUGGCACCAUAUGUUGUCGAAGGUGCAACGCUCAAAUAGCCAUGUCCAAACGCCUCCAGAAAACCCCAUCAAGGCAUUCACUUAUUUUACGAAAGAGACUGUUGUUAUGCCUGUAAAGCCUAUGAAACGAGGACAUAUAGAGGAAAGGUGUUUGUAUCUUCUUGAAUUCAUGGCUUCACUGUGUAUUUUCACCAUAUGUGGUUCUUAUUCUUGUAGUGGUUCUCAGAUGUAAACUAGUUAGGCAAAUGAUGAUGAUCUAUUGAAAUGAAGAUUGCUAAAACUUGAAGAUCCA